UACGGAGGGGGCUAGCGUUGUUCGGAAUUACUGGGCGUAAAGCGCGCGUAGGCGGACCUGCAAGUCGGGGGUGAAAGCCCGAGGCUCAACCUCGGAACUGCCUUCGAUACUGCGGGUCUCGAGUCCGGGAGAGGUGAGUGGAAUUCCUAGUGUAGAGGUGAAAUUCGUAGAUAUUAGGAAGAACACCAGUGGCGAAGGCGGCUCACUGGCCCGGUGCUGACGCUGAGGAGCGAAAGCGUGGGGAGCGAACAGG
rnacentral:rRNA from 1 species